rnacentral:rRNA from 4 species
CAGCCGCCGCGGUAAUACGGAGGGUGCAAGCGUUAAUCGGAAUUACUGGGCGUAAAGCGCACGCAGGCGGUUUGUUAAGUCAGAUGUGAAAUCCCCGGGCUCAACCUGGGAACUGCAUCUGAUACUGGCAAGCUUGAGUCUCGUAGAGGGGGGUAGAAUUCCAGGUGUAGCGGUGAAAUGCGUAGAGAUCUGGAGGAAUACCGGUGGCGAAGGCGGCCCCCUGGACGAAGACUGACGCUCAGGUGCGAAAGCGUGGGGAGCAAACAGGAUUAGAUACCCUGGUAGUCCACGCCGUAAACGAUGUCGACUUGGAGGUUGUGCCCUUGAGGCGUGGCUUCCGGAGCUAACGCGUUAAGUCGACCGCCUGGGGAGUACGGCCGCAAGGUUAAAACUCAAAUGAAUUGACGG